rnacentral:rRNA from 1 species
UACAGAGGGUGCAAGCGUUGUUCGGAAUUAUUGGGCGUAAAGGGCGCGUAGGCGGUGCGGUAAGUCUGUAGUGAAAUCUCUGGGCUCAACUCAGAGUCUGCUGCAGAAACUGCCGUGCUUGAGUGUGGGAGAGGUGAGUGGAAUUCCCGGUGUAGCGGUGAAAUGCGUAGAGAUCAGCAGGAAUACCCGUGGCGAAGGCGGCCCCCUGGGCCGAACCUGACGCUGAGGCGCGAAGGCUAGGGGAGCGAACGGG